rnacentral:tRNA from 1 species
GUGGAUGUAGCUCAGGUGUAGAGCAUGUGCUUAGCAUGCACAAGGUCCCGGAUUCAAUCCCCAGCAUCUCCA